AAGGAGGUCACACCUGUUCCCAUGCCGAACACAGAAGUUAAGCUCCUUAGCGCCGAUGGUAGUCGGACUGACGUUCCGCUAGAGUAGGAC
rnacentral:rRNA from 1 species